rnacentral:rRNA from 1 species
CAGCAGCCGCGGUAAUACAGAGGGUGCGAGCGUUAAUCGGAUUUACUGGGCGUAAAGCGUGCGUAGGCGGCUUCUUAAGUCGGAUGUGAAACCCCUGAGCUUAACUUAGGAAUUGCAUUCGAUACUGGGAAGCUAGAGUAUGGGAGAGGAUGGUGGAAUUCCAGGUGUAGCGGUGAAAUGCGUAGAGAUCUGGAGGAAUACCGAUGGCGAAGGCAGCCAUCUGGCCUAAUACUGGCGCUGAGGUACGAAAGCAUGGGGAGCAAACAGGAUUAGAUACCCGUGUAGUCCCUGUCUCUUAUAC